AGUCAAGAUUGGUGGCUUUCAGAAAGAAACUUACGCGAAAGGAUCAUGUUUCCAGACACUUAGUUCUAAGCACCUGAAGAAGGUCAAAUGUCGCCCGACACCUACCGGCCUUCCAGAAUCAUCUGCAACAAGAACGCCGCACUGAGCGCCCUUAGUCUGGAGGCGCCUCCUAGUCCUCCAGGUGCCACACCUGUUGGCAAGGUGCACCCAUCCGAAGAAGAUUCCUUCGCGUGGAGGUCACACCUGGCGGCGAGACAGGCGGAGGGGCGGGGUGGUGGGAGUCGGAGACCGCACUGAAACCCUGAGUCCAGAUUUAAGUUCCUCGUCGAUUCUCGAGAACUGCCAUUUGAUGCUCCGGUUGCUUUCUCUGUCUCCUACACUGGUUACCUCAUUUCCGAUUAAAUUAAUGAUCCGAAAUUA
rnacentral:lncRNA from 1 species